rnacentral:rRNA from 1 species
GACGAACGCUGGCGGCGUGCUUAACACAUGCAAGUCGAACGGGCCUUGUCCCCUUUUUUUUGGGGGUGGGGUUAGUGGCGAACGGGUGAGUAACACGUGAGUAACCUGCCCCUCACUUCUGGAUAACCGCUUGAAAGGGUGGCUAAUACGGGGUGUUCUGGCCUGCUCGCAUGGGUGGGUUUGGAAAGAUUCGACCGGUUUUGGUUGUUUUGGUGGGGGAUGGGCUCGCGGCCUAUCAGCUUGUUGGUGGGGUGAUGGCCUGCCAAGGCUUUGACGGGUAGCCGGCCUGAGAGGGUGGGCGGUCACACUGGGACUGAGACACGGCCCAGACUCCUACGGGAGGCAGCAGUGGGGAAUAUUGCACAAUGGGCGCAAGCCUGAUGCAGCGACGCCGCGUGAGGGAUGGAGGCCUUCGGGUUGUGAACCUCUUUCACCAGUGAAGAAGGUCCUGCUCUUUGUGGUGGGGUUGACGGUAGCUGGGUUAAUGAAGCGCCGGCUAACUACGUG